GGUGGAUCCAGAGAAGGUGCUUGAAGCCGAGAAGAAAGCAGCGGCAGAUCGAGCACAACGAGGUAUCAACACUCGCAUGCCCAAUCCCAGUAGUUGCUCCAUUAACAGUGUUGAUAUUGUUGUUGCAACGUACUUCAAUUCAAUGGCUAGACAAUGUUACCACUGCUCGUAUUGGUCCAGCAAUGAUUGAUAGAGUCGGAGUGCCCGAUCUUUCGGUGAGUGGAGAUAAAAUCGACUUGGUGGAAGUAGACCCUCACGAUCCGACUACGACGAGCGAACCCGAAGCGCCAAUGCAAUCGCUGAACCAACUCCCGAUGGUUACCAACCUCGCCGGUGCGAGAUCAGCCUGAUCACGAAGAUCGAUUCCUGUCCGCAAUCGAAGAACGAACAAGAAAGAGAGGCGAGCAAUCUAAAUAUCACUCGAAGGUGGAGUUCUGAAUCACAAGGACAGCGCGUAUUUGCGCGUGUUCAAGAGUAGCUAAAGCUAGAUGUAAAACAAAACUCAAGUCGUAAACAAAAAGGACUCGGACUAAAUAAAGGGGGCGCAGCCCCUGGAGUCCGAAGGGGUCACGGCGCCCAACCCUAGGCGCCCCACCUGGGCUGCCCUGUUGGGCCAUCUUCUUAUUCCGAUGGGCCUUCGUUCCUUAAUAGCAUGAUGAAGUUUAAUUCUCUCGCACGGGCUCGAGUGAUUGGCCCAACUGGAUGAGCAACUGUAGGCGCCUGAGGUGGAGGAGCAACUGGAGGCGCCUGAGGUGCUGAUGGUGUAGAUGUACUCGUGGUGUCCUCAUCAUCCUUCCCUUCUUGAACUGAAGUCGUCCUCGACGGCAACUCCUCAUCUUCGCCCACAUACGGUUUCAAAUCUGCAACAUUAAAACUCGUGGAAACACCAAACUCCGCAGGCAGGUCAAGGAUAUAAGCAUUAUCAUUAAUCUUGGUUAGCACUUUAAAAGGACCAGCAGCACGUGGCAUCAAUUUAGAACGACGUAAGGUAGGAAAACGAUCCUUCCUCAAAUGCAACCAAACCAGGUCACCCGGUGCAAAAGUAACAUGUUUUCUCCCUUUACUACCCGCAACCUGAUAUUUAGCAUUAGCAGCAGCAAUGUUUUGUUGAGUUUGCUCAUGCAAGCUAAUCAUUUGAUCAACAUGUGCAGCGGCAUCUAUGUGUGGGGUGUCCUCGGCAUCAAGUGCAAACAAAUCAAUAGGUGCCCGAGGAAUAUAACCAUAAACAACUUGAAAAGGACACAUCUUUGUAGAAGAAUGUGUUGCAUGAUUAUAAGCAAACUCAACAUGAGGCAAGCAAUCUUCCCAACGUUUCAAGUUUUUCCUUUAAAAUAGCCCUAAGCAUUGUGGACAAGGUUCGAUUAACCACCUCAGUUUGUCCAUCAGUCUGAGGGUGACAAGUGGUGCUAAACAGCAAUUUAGUUCCCAUUUUAUUCCACAGUGAUCUCCAAAAAUGACUGAGAAACUUAGCAUCACGAUCAGAGACUAUUGUAUUUGGAAUACCAUGCAAACGAAUAAUCUCGCGAAAGAACAAUUCAGCAACAUUGCUAGCAUCAUCAGUCUUAUGACAAGGUAUAAAAUGAGCCAUUUUGGAGAAACGAUCAACAACCACAAAAAUACUGUCCCUCCCCUUCUUAGUUCUAGGCAAUCCCAAAACAAAGUCCAUAGAAAUAUCAAGCCAGGGAGAAGUAGGAACAGGCAAAGGCAUGUACAAACCAUGGUUGUUCAAUCGUGACUUAGCUUUCUGGCAAGUAGUGCAACGUGCAACAAGGCGCUCAACAUCAGCGCGCAUCCGGGGCCAAAAGAAGUGGGCAGCCAGCACUUCAUGCGUCUUGUAGACGCCAAAGUGCCCCAUGAGACCGCCUCCAUGCGCUUCCUGUAACAACAAACGACGAACCGAGCUAGCUGGAACACACAGCUUAUUAGCGCGAAACAGGAACCCGUCCUGUAUGUGAAAUUUGCCCCAUGGUUUGCCAUGAAUACAGUGGGCGAAAGCAUCUUUAAAAUCAGCAUCAUCCACAUAUUGAUCCUUCACAGUUUGCAAGCCAAAGAUUUUAAAAUCUAACUGGGACAGCAUGGUAUAGCGACGAGACAAAGCAUCAGCAAUGACAUUUUCCUUCCCGCUCUUGUGUUUAAUAAUGUAAGGGAAAGACUCAAUGAAUUCUACCCAUUUAGCAUGACGACGGUUCAGGUUUGUUUGGGUACGAAUAUGUUUUAAAGCCUCAUGAUCAGAAUGAAUUAUAAACUCGCGAUGCCAAAGGUAGUGCUGCCAAGUAUGCAAAGUGCGCACUAAAGCAUAAAGCUCCUUAUCAUAAGUAGAAUAAUUCAAGCUAGCACCACUUAAUUUCUCGCUAAAGUAAGCAACCGGUUUUCCUUCUUGUAACAAAACAACACCUAGCCCAAUACCGCUAGCAUCGCAUUCAAGCUCAAACACUUUAGUAAAAUCAGGCAACUGCAAGAGAGGAGCAUUGGUUAACUUAUCUUUCAAGGUGCUGAACGCAACCUCUUGCGAAUCACUCCAAGCAAAGGGAACAUCCUUCUUUGUAAGCUCAUGUAGAGGCGCUGCAAUGGAGCUAAAAUCACGAACAAACCGGCGGUAGAAACCUGCAAGGCCAAGAAAGCUUCGAAUUUGUGUGACCGUCGUCGGUGUAGGCCACUCCCGAAUGGCAUCAAUCUUGCUGCUAUCCACCUCAAUGCCCUGUGGAGUAACAACAUAGCCAAGAAACGAGACACGUUGUGUGCAAAACAUGCAUUUUUCGAGGUUAGCAAAUAAAUGGGCCGCACGCAAUGCAUCAAAAACAGCACGCAAAUGUUCUAGAUGCUCUUCCAUAGACUUGCUGUAAAUGAGGAUAUCAUCAAAAUAGACAACUACAAACAAUCCUAUGAAGGGCCUCAGAACUUCAUUCAUCAAACGCAUAAAUGUGCUGGGAGCAUUUGUCAAACCAAACGGCAUAACCAACCAUUCAUAUAACCCAAAUUUUGUUUUAAAAGCCGUUUUCCAUUCAUCACCUAAUUUCAUGCGAAUCUGAUGGUAGCCACUACGCAAAUCAAUCUUAGUGAAAAUAAUGGCACCACUAAGCUCAUCUAGCAUAUCAUCAAGGCGUGGUAUAGGGUAUCGGUAGCGAAUGGUAAUGUUAUUAAUAGCACGACAGUCUACACACAUACGCCAUGAGCCAUCUUUCUUUGGAACAAGUAACACGGGAACGGAGCAAGGGCUAAGAGACUCACGAAUAUAACCCUUGUCAAGCAACGCCUGUACCUGGCGCUGGAUUUCCUUCGUCUCAUCCGGAUUUGUACGGUACGGUGCGCGGUUCGGAAGCUGUGCGCCGGGAAUGAGGUCGAUCUGGUGCUCAAUGCCACGAAGUGGUGGGAGUCCUGGUGGUAAAUCUUUUGGAAAGACAUCAGCGUACUCCUGCAAAAUGUUAGCAACCGCAGGGGGAAUAUCCAAAGAUGGUGCAUCAUCAAGUGAAACGAGCACACUAGAGCAUAUAAGGGCAUAGCAUGGUAAAGGAGCAUCGCGUAACUCAUCAAAAUCAGCACGUGUGGCAAGCAAAACAGGAGCAUUCAACUUGAUUUUAGAAUUAAGAGAUGUCGAUGGUUCAAGUUGUUUAGCAGUUUUAGUAGCUCUAGCAAGAUCAUCUUUAAGAAUUUGUUCAGGUGUCAUUGGAUGUAUAAUUAUUUUCUGACCCUUAAACAUGAAAGAAUAGUGAUUUGAACGACCAUGGUGCAAGCUAUCAGUAUCAUAUUGCCAAGGUCGCCCAAGUAACAGAGAGCAUGCUUCCAUGGGAAUAACAUCACAAUCGACAAAAUCAGAAUAAGCACCCAUGGAGAAAGGAACACGGACUGAUCGAGUAAUUCUAAUUUUCCCACCAUCAUUAAGCCAUUGAAUGUGAUAUGGAUGUGGAUGCUUACGAGUGGGUAAAGACAACUUUUCAACCAGCGUGGUACUCGCCAAAUUGUUGCAGCUGCCGCUGUCGAUGAUGAUGCGAAUCGACCGCUCCUGCACAACGCCCUUGGUAUGGAAAAGAGUGUGUCACUGAUUCUUCUCGGACGGGGCGACCUGUGUACUAAGAACACGCUGCACAACAAGACUUUCAUACCUAUCGGCGUCGCCCGGGUUGACAUGUACCUCCAUAGCUGCAUGGUCAGUGGCAAGCAUCGCAUGUCGAGUAUCUUCAGAAUCACUAGCGGAAGAGUACUCACCAUCGUCACGAAGAAGCAAAGUGCGCUUGUUCGGACAGUCCCGAAUCACAUGGCCAAAUCCUUUGCAACGAUGACACUGAAUAUCCCGUGUACGGCCUGUGGGAGGGGCGGCGCCUGUGGAAGGGGCAACGCUUGCAGGUUUGGCCGUUCGCUCGCACGGUGUAGUGGUGGGCGUGGGUGGCGCAGGGAGAGCGGGUGCGGAGUUGGAUGUCGAGCUUCUUCCUGCAAAAGAGUUAGAAUAUAUCUUCGAGUGGCGUCCCUGCACUUCACGUUCAGCUUUGCAAGCAUAUUCAAAUAAUGUUGUCAUAUCUGUGUAGUCCUUAUAAUCAAGUAUAUCCUGAAUUUCGCGGUUCAAACCACCACGAAAACGUGCCAUAGCAGCGUCGUUUUCCUCCAAUAACCCACAACGAAUCAUGCCUAUUUGUAAUUCCUGGAAAUAUUCCUCAACAGAUUUGGAACCUUGCUGAAAACGUUGCAUUUUAUUAAGCAAAUCACGAGCAUAAUAAGAAGGCACAAAUCUGUGGCGCAUAGCAGUUUUUAAUUGCUCCCAAGUGGUUGGAAUGGUAUUGGGAUGUUUGUGUUUAUAUUCACGCCACCAAAUUAAAGCAAAAUCAGUAAAUUCACUAAUAGCAGCUUUAACUUGAGAAUUAGCAAGAAUAUCAUGGCAUGAAAAUUUCUGUUCAACUUCUAAUUCCCAAUCAAGAUAUGCAGCAGGAUCAUAUUUGCCAUUAAAAGGUGGAAUUUUAAAUUUAAUCUUGGAAAAGGAAUCAUUACCACCGGGACGGCGUGGCACGCGGCGGGCACGGCCUCGGCGGUUGCCAUCGUCCUGGUCCGAGUCACCACCAUAACCCUGCUGCAACUCUGCGACUGUAGUGUGCAAUGCAUCGAGUCUUGCCACAACUGAGUCGAGUGUGGCCUUAGCGGCCGUCUGUGCAAGGUCGAGCUGAUCACACCGCUCGGUCGUCGAGGAGAUCGUCGAGUCCAGCCGUUCAUGAAUCAUCUGAAUGUCGGUGACAAGCCCUUCAACUUGCGCCCGUAUGCCCUGCAGCUGGUUAGCCCCCACGUCGACAUCAUCUGCCAUGGUUAGCGCAAAGACAAGAACACAAGCGACGACAAAAUAGGGGUGUAAUAGCUCACAAGGCGCUCACACUAGUGCUGUUAUCAAAUUCUUAUCCGUUCUUACCAUGCACACAGGGGCGAAUUGCAACCAACCGGUGGAACUCACGAAAGAUUGGAGGAGCGAUUGCCUGGAGAAACAAAAUAUGCUCGUCGUAGAACUAUGUGGAGUUCUGGGAAGGCUGCACUCAAAUGAAGGAUUAGCACAAUCAAACAAUAAUGCAAAGUUGAAAGAUAGUGCCAAACACGUAACAAGAGUUGCUGGUAACAAGGAAAAUCGAAAAUCGAAAGAACAGAGGCAAGGUGGAGAGGGCGCACCUCUUUUUUUUUUCUAUUUUUUUUUCACAGAGGGUGCCCCAAAACUGAUAAUAUGAACACAGAGGAUCUCAAAUAUCAAAUUGCGGCACACACACUCUCUCUCUCUCUAGAGUAAGGCGGACCUCAGAAUAAAAAAGGACCAAGAAAGAGAGAUACGGAUUUGAAAGGCUGGCACGGAAGGCGUGGGGGGGGGGGAAUUUACCCCAGAGAGUCGUGACCCAGGAGGAGUCACGGCACGCGCAAAGGGAGGUUCCACCGAAACAAAUCCGAAUCACCUUCCUUCUCCCUGUUGGAUUCUUCUCCUUCUUUUUUUUUUGCUUCUUUCCCUUUUUUUUUGCACUUUCCUUUUUUUUGAUUGCUUUCGAUCUUUUUUUUUUGACAGGGGAGGGGCGAUCGGAGUAGUGGGAUGGCGUGGCGCGGUUGUCGCGGGGGGAGGUGCGGUGGGCGCGGCUGGUAGGGUUGGCGAGCAGCGGAACGGCGGCGGCGGCGAAAAACUAGGGUUAGAUGAAAAACGAGAAACAAGAGAUUAAACACAAGUAACCAGCAACAAUUGAACGAGUAGGCACACAAAUUCAACAAAGACACUUAUUGAAAGAAUGUGCAAGGCUAAACGGUUGCUGGGACAAAGGAUCUAACCUGAAAAAAUUUGUUUUGGUUUUUGUGGACUGUAGGAAGGGAAAAACACUCGGUAAAACUCACCGAUCAACCUGGAAAGCUGAUACCACUUGAUAGAGUCGGAGUGCCCGAUCUUUCGGUGAGUGGAGAUAAAAUCGACUUGGUGGAAGUAGACCCUCACGAUCCGACUACGACGAGCGAACCCGAAGCGCCAAUGCAAUCGCUGAACCAACUCCCGAUGGUUACCAACCUCGCCGGUGCGAGAUCAGCCUGAUCACGAAGAUCGAUUCCUGUCCGCAAUCGAAGAACGAACAAGAAAGAGAGGCGAGCAAUCUAAAUAUCACUCGAAGGUGGAGUUCUGAAUCACAAGGACAGCGCGUAUUUGCGCGUGUUCAAGAGUAGCUAAAGCUAGAUGUAAAACAAAACUCAAGUCGUAAACAAAAAGGACUCGGACUAAAUAAAGGGGGCGCAGCCCCUGGAGUCCGAAGGGGUCACGGCGCCCAACCCUAGGCGCCCCACCUGGGCUGCCCUGUUGGGCCAUCUUCUUAUUCCGAUGGGCCUUCGUUCCUUAAUAGCAUGAUGAAGUUUAAUUCUCUCGCACGGGCUCGAGUGAUUGGCCCAACUGGAUGAGCAACUGUAGGCGCCUGAGGUGGAGGAGCAACUGGAGGCGCCUGAGGUGCUGAUGGUGUAGAUGUACUCGUGGUGUCCUCAUCAAUGAUUGUUUUGAUGAUGUGAAUUGCAGAGUGGAUCCAAUUCAAUUAGUUCCUAUUUUUCUGUGUGUUGCAUGUGUGAUGUUGCAUUUAUUUUACAAAGAUGAGCGUGAACCAUUACUAGAUUUCAAGCUACACUAGGCAUGCAACGUUUGUUAAACAAAUGGUAACUUAUUUUAUUUCCCAGGACUCCUCCAACUUUGUAAAAUUUGAGACAUGCAUGCAUAUAUAUCCUCCCAUUGUCUGCAUUUGUUCUAGAAGACUAAACGCGUGUCUGCAAUUUAGGUCUUUUCUUGUUCUAGAUGUGUAUGCUAAAUCAAAAAGUUUUAUCCAGGAUCCUGUGGGCAUGAAGUUUCCGACUACG
rnacentral:lncRNA from 1 species